UGGAAAGUGCCUGCAUUGGAGCAUUCAAGGCUGGGUGAAUCAGCGGAUCUCACCUCCCAUUGACUGCUUUGGACAGAUCAUUUGCACAGUGAGCAACUCUUACAGCCUUUUGGGGCAGGCCUGAGAGCAAUACCACAGGAUGCAAAUGGGGUCUGAGAAGUGCAAGUCAUUCCAGGAAGGAAACGCACUUAGAGCUGUCCCGGAGACGCCAUGGCCGAGGAAAUGGGUGCUGAGUCUUGAAAGGCAGGGUUGGGGGGAGGAAGAGAAAGGAGUCAGGGAAGACCUCCGUGUGGAGAGAACCGCGAGCUUGGGGAGAUGGCAGAGACGGCCCGGAGAUCCACUUGGACUCCCAGCCGCCCCCGCUCAGAAAGGCCACCAAGGACUCUCCUCUUGUCCCCAGCUUCUGCCUGUGCCCCCCCUACAGUUUCCAAACCCCCAGCCCAAGUGGCACAAUGUCGCUCCUCUGUCCCCUGCAGUCUCCUUAUGGGAAGCUAAGGGCAUUCGGUGGCCCACAAACCAUGUGGAGCCCGCCUGUGUUACACCUCCUCCUGUGCCUUUCUCGGGCCCCUUCAUUCAGCCACCACUUGCGUGAGUCACUCGGAACCCUUCACACACCUCCCGGCACACCCCAACCUCAGGACCUUUGCACGAGCUGUAGCCCCGUCCUGGGGAUCCCUCCCACGUAUCUCUGUCUCAUCUCUGGCUCUCUCUGCCCCCCUCGGGACGCCACUCACACGCCACACCUCAUACACAUCUUCUCUUUUAACCUACGGAAAGGAGCAAACUGCGCCCAACUCCUGACCUCCUUCCUUUCUCUUAAUGUCUUUACCACACAUUUUGGCACAUUGUACAACGUUACCAGUGUUCUGUUUGAAUCCGGUUUCCGUUAGGCUGGGAGCACCACAAGUGUGGGCUUUAGGGUCUGUUUUGCGUACUAUGAUAUCCCCAGCCACGGCGCAUAAGCCGAGAUGGCCGGUUAAGUUCUUGGGAAAUGAAGUUUUCAUCUCCUUCAUGGCAGCCAGUCUACCUUUGGUAAUGCACUCAUCAGUCACUUUGAUGAAUUCGUGAGCCGUGUCACAUGACAAGCACACACUGCUGUCUUAGUUUUCUCUGACUCUGCAGUGUUUGUGUUGCCAUAUGCCACUGCACUGUGGUGACUUUGGGACAAUUUCUAUGCUGCCACGGCCAGCAAGGAAGUGCCCCUGGAGUACAAGGAAGUGAAUCACACCCAUCAUGGCUGUAAUGACCUCGCUGUUUCCGAUGGAGCCUCUGACUGCUGUCUGCACUUCCUGCGGCUGAGGUCUAAGCUGAGUGUCAGGCACUACAUGCCAAUCAAGAGUCAUGAAAGAACCAGUUUGAUGAGCAGGAAACUGAUGAAUUUAAUGCCAGAAGAUCCCCCCUCAGUUCAACUCCUAAAGGGAAGCAGAUGCUGCGGUGGAAUGAAAGUUUUUUCUUUCUGAUUUCAAAUGAAGCCUUGCUUUCACUUAGUGCCUUCUAAUAUGUACAUUGAAACAAUUUUCUCAGAAAUGCUCAUGGAAUAAUAAUGAAUUUGUUGAUUGAUCUUUUUGAUCGCUAGAACAAUGCCAUCUCUAUAAAUGUUACUCAAAUCAAAA